UACGGAGGGUGCAAACGUUAUCCGGAAUCACUGGGCGUAAAGCGCAUGUAGGUGGUUUGGUAAGUGGGUGAUUAAAGACCGAUGCUUAACAUCGGGACUGUUGCCUAUACUGCUUGACUUGAGGAUGACAGGGGUAAGCGGAACUUUUAGGUGUAGGAGUGAAAUCCGUAGAUAUCUAAAGGAACACCAAUGGCGAAGGCAGCUUACUGGGUUUUUCCUGACACUGAGAUGCGAAAGCGUGGGGAGCGAACGGG
rnacentral:rRNA from 1 species